rnacentral:rRNA from 1 species
AUUGAACGCUGGCGGCAUGCUUUACACAUGCAAGUCGAACGGUAACAGGGAGCUUGCUCCGCUGACGAGUGGCGAACGGGUGAGUAAUGCAUCGGAACGUACCCAGUCGUGGGGGAUAACGUAGCGAAAGUUACGCUAAUACCGCAUACGUCCUGAGGGAGAAAGCGGGGGACCGUAAGGCCCCGCGCGAUUGGAGCGGCCGAUGUCGGAUUAGCUAGUUGGUAGGGUAAAGGCCUACCAAGGCGACGAUCCGUAGCGGGUCUGAGAGGAUGAUCCGCCACACUGGGACUGAGACACGGCCCAGACUCCUACGGGAGGCAGCAGUGGGGAAUUUUUGGACAAUGGGCGGAAAGACCUGAUCCAGCCAUGCCGCGUGAGUGAAGAAGGCCU